CCCGAGUGGCGGAAGGGUGGAGUAACACGUGAGCAACCCGCCCCAAGGCCGGAACAAGCGCUGGAAACGGCGUCUGAAACCGGAUGAGGACCCCCCUCGCAUGUGGGGGCGUCCAAAUAUUCAUACCCUGGGGAUGGGCUCGCGGCCCAUUAGCUUGUCGGCGGGGCAACGGCCCACCGAGGCGACGACGGGUAGGUGGUCUGAGAGGAUGGUCACCCACACUGGGACUGAGACACUGCCCAGACUCCUGCGGGAGGCUGCAGUCGAGAAUCUUCCGCAAUGGGCGCAAGCCUGAACCGGAGCGAUGCCGCGUGAGGGACGGAGGCCUUCGGGUCGUGAACCUCUGUCGCCCGGGACGAUGAUGACGGUACCGGGAAAGGAAGCCACGGCUAACCACGUGCCAGCAGCAGC
rnacentral:rRNA from 1 species